CAAGCGGUGGAGCAUGUGGUUUAAUUCGACGCAACGCGAAGAACCUUACCUGGGCUCGAAAUGUAGUGGAAUCCGGCAGAAACGUCGGCGUCUAGCAAUAGACCGCUAUAUAGGUGCUGCAUGGCUGUCGUCAGCUCGUGUCGUGAGAUGUUGGGUUAAGUCCCGCAACGAGCGCAACCCUUAUCUUCAGUUGCUACCAUUUAGUUGAGCACUCUGACGAAACCGCCUCGGAUAACGGGGAGGAAGGUGGGGAUGACGUCAAGUCCUCAUGGCCUUUAUGUCCAGGGCUACACACGUGCUACAAUGGCCGGUACAAACCGCUGCAACCCCGCGAGGGUGAGCUAAUCGGGAAAAGCCGGCCUCAGUUCGGAUUGGAGUCUGCAACUCGACUCCAUGAAGCUGGAAUCGCUAGUAAUCGUGGAUCAGCAUGCCACGGUGAAUACGUUCCCGGGCCUUGUACACACC
rnacentral:rRNA from 1 species